GACGAACGCUGGCGGCGUGCUUAACACAUGCAAGUCGAACGGAAAGGCCCUGCUUUUGUGGGGUGCUCGAGUGGCGAACGGGUGAGUAACACGUGAGUAACCUGCCCUUGACUUUGGGAUAACUUCAGGAAACUGGGGCUAAUACCGGAUAGGAGCUCCUGCUGCAUGGUGGGGGUUGGAAAGUUUCGGCGGUUGGGGAUGGACUCGCGGCUUAUCAGCUUGUUGGUGGGGUAGUGGCUUACCAAGGCUUUGACGGGUAGCCGGCCUAAGAGGGUGACCGGCCACAUUGGGACUGAGAUACGGCCCAGACUCCUACGGGAGGCAGCAGUGGGGAAUAUUGCACAAUGGGCGGAAGCCUGAUGCAGCAACGCCGCGUGCGGGAUGACGGCCUUCGGGUUGUAAACCGCUUUCGCCUGUGACGAAGCGUGGGUGACGGUAAUGGGUAAAGAAGCACCGGCUAACUACGU
rnacentral:rRNA from 1 species